rnacentral:lncRNA from 10 species
UUUUUUUUUUUUUUUUUUGAGAUGGAGUCUCGCUCUGUCCCGCUGCCUGGAGUGCAGUGGCGCGAUCUCGGCUCACUGCAAGCUCCGCCUCCCAGGUUCGCGCCAUUCUCCUGCCUCAGCCUCCCGAGUAGCUGGGACUAUAGGCGCCCUCUACCGCGCCCAGCUAAUGUUUUUUUGUUUUUGUAUUUUUAGUAGAGACGGGGUUUCACCGUGUUAGCCAGGAUGGUCUCGAUCUCCUGACCUCGUGAUCCGCCCGCCUCGGCCUCCCAAAGUGCUGGGAUUACAGGAGUGAGCCACCGCGCCCGGCCACGUAGUUUGACUUCUAAGAGCACUACAGCUCUGCUGAAGAUGUGGUUUGUCAGCUGACUGAUUAUUCUCUGCUGUUCUGGAUAGUCUUCUAUGUACAAAACUAGAGAUGAGUGGACUUUUCGUGUGCUGUGUGGUGGAUGUGACUCAGGUCAUAGCCACUGCUCUGAAAAGUGAUGGAGUCAGGGAGCCAUCAUCCAGCCUCACCUCCUGGGUUGUCAACCUACAUUUUUGGAGCCAGCUCAUUCUUUGAGGUUUCUCUAAGUCCCCAUUGAUGGGCCCUCACUUUGUUGCCCAGGCUGGUUUCAAACUCCUGGACUCAAGCAACCCUCCUGCCUCAGCCUCCCGAAGUGCUGGGAUUACACAUGUCAGCCGCCGGACCAGAUAUUACAAGAAUCUCGGAUACAUUACUUGAGGACAGUAUAGAUUCCAGAAGAGCUGCUAUUCAUGUUGACCAACAGUCUUAAGCAGAAAGAAAUAGCUUCUGGAAAAAUAACUAUAAUAUUGGCACAUUUCAGCAUCUCAAAGCAGAUUUUUGCAAGACGGUAAAUGACAACACAAGAUAUUUCAAUAAAAUGCCUACAUGUUGAAAGACCCUCCAACGGAAAAUAUACCAAGAGCAGAGCUACCUGAAAUAUAAUCUUAUUUCAUUGACAUACACUCCCUGGGAGAAAGUGCAACCCUUGUCAGAGUGGGCUCUGCCUUCCAUAGUUAUUCAGGAUCCCCUAGUGGAUGAAAGCCUGGUUAUCAGUCACACCAUCUGGAAUAUGUAAUUACUGUGGAAGAGGAAAAGACACACUACAGUGCAUCUUAAUUGCCUGGAAGCUGAAAGUGACAUAACUCAUUUCUGACCACAUCCCAUUGGCCAAUCCUAAUAGCAUGGCCCCAGCAUAACUGCAAGGGAAGCACAUGUAUUUGGUUAGCCCUCUGUACACAUGGUAAUUCUAAAAUUUAAUGUCCAAAAUUUUCCUUCUAUUCUACGUGAGCAAAUCCCCAAUUAUGUAAAUAAAAAACAAAAACCUCCAAACAAUGGGUCAUCUUUUGUUUCCCACAUUAUUUUGUAACUGAUAUUCAAUUCAUCAGAAAUUCUGUUAGCUUGAUAUAAAGAAUAUCCUGAAUUUGAUCACAUCUCACAACAUCUACUAAUACCAACCUCCUUCCUACUAGCUUUACAUACAUAGAAAAAUUCUUUUUUGUGUUAAAGUAAAUUUAAUUUAAAAUUACUUUUAAAUUAAAUGUUUUUAUGUAACAUGCAUGUCUGC